AUCAUGCAGAAAAUUUAUCUUUUUUGUUUACUAUUUUGUCUAUCAAAUACAGUCUAUCAGCUAGUUUUAUGCAUACUUGUGAAAGCUGGUGCAUGUGUGCAGGUGUGUAUUUGGUGAUUUCUGAAUUCGUAGCCGUUGGAAAGUUAGCUUCAAUACAUGUAAUGUUUUUUCAUGCAUCUCUGAUUUCAUGCGCUUCGUCGCCUUAAAUUCAUGGAUGCUAGCAAUUUUUCUAGAUCGAGAUUAUCAUGUCAAAGGAUCAUCCUUAAGAGAUUGAGGUCUUCUCCUCCUCCUCCCUCUGUGCUGCUUCACCUCCACUCUUCUCAAAUUUCAUUCUCCGACCGUAACCCCUUGACCUAAACAAACCCUAAUCCCCUCAUAACCCCUACCUUCACAAUAUACAGCGCUAGAUCGAGAAAGACCUCUUCUAGAAUGCCAAAUCUCCUCGCAAAACCCUAGUUCGAUUGGGACCUCGCUCCGCAGAACGCUGCAGUAGGGGCAGCAGAUAGGCGCGAUCUUUGCAUAGCUGCAUCUCCCUUACAAUUUGGCGAGACAUCCUAUUGAUUGAGUGAAGCUUGCAAAUUUUACAAGUUGGUAGUUCUUCAUUUGUUCCGGCGGCGUAGUUUCCGAUGGACUGGAGUCGAUGGUUCGAAUCGUUUUCUUGAUGUGUGGAUGGUGGUAGAAGCGGAGGCGUUGCAAUAGGAAUCUCUCACUCUUGGGGAGAUGGGUUGGUCUCAUCCGGAUAUUUCUUUGGACGAUCUCUUGGUCCUGAUCAAAGGAUUUGUGGAUAUACUAAUUCUUGCGUCCGGGUAUCAGUCUUCCGGUCUUCCUGCCUCCUGGGACGUGGAGAACAUCAAGAAAGCCGUGAGAUGGGGCAUAUUCUUCGAAGAUGUGCUUAGACGUCUACAGGACUCUGUUGAUUAUGAGGAUUCCAUGAAGGAACUUGAUGCAGCUUUACUUCAUCUGACCUCCAGUCCAAAUUUCCCUCAGGGCCUUGUACAUAUUUCUUCUGCAACUCUUUCGAAGGGAAGAGACUUGAUUUUAGAACAUUUACUUCAAACUCACCCAUUAGAAGCUGCACAUAUUACUUCUCUUUUGACGGCAACUGUUGAGCUGGAUAUUGACAACCUUACCAACACGGAUAAUGAUGGACUAAAUAUGUAUAUGGACAGGCUGAUGUUGCAUUUGGAAUCACAUAAUUUGAUUUCCAUACCGAAGGACAUGUUCAAGAAAUCUUUAGCUUCAUCAGCAACAGCAGAUUUGAAGAUUUCUGAUAGUGUUUGCAAUACUGGAUCUCCUAGAAAGUCUUACAUCGGAUCAGAGGAAUGCAAUUUUACCGAUCAUUCAUACUUUCUCAUCGAAGAACUCUUAAAGAGGCAAGCUUUGAUUUCACGUGUAUCUUCAGCUGAGAGAGGACUAGAUACUCUUUUAAAGAUUGUUGCAAGGGACAACAUAGUUAGAUCUCAAAAAAACGCAUUGGAAGAGACACUGUCUGUUGAUAUGUCUUUGAAGAGCACAGAAAUGUUGAGUGAGUUUUCUUUGUGGGACCAGUGGAGAUCAAGGUGUCUGUCAUAUCUACUGGACAAAAGAACUAUUAGAAUGCUCUCUGGUGCCAACUUGAUUUUCAGUGCCUCUAAGGUUCAAUGGAUUCGGGUCUUUGAGCCACUCAAAGUUUCAUUGGAUGUUAAAAAUGACAAUCUUCUUGAAAUUAUGGAAAUAUCAUUGUUAGGCUUUAUCUCAAGCAGAUGGAAUUCUCUGAUUGAAUGCUUCAUUUCGCAGACUUAUAAUUUCCUUCCCAUAUCUAAGCAGUACUCUGACCUUCAAUACUUGCUUCAAGGAAAUUCUCUGUGUGUACAUUCUAAAAAGGAAGCUAUGAACUCCAAGGAAAGAGAUAUUCUUGAGUAUGUGACACCAUUAUUAAGCAGUCAACCUCAUAAAUUAUGGCUACUGCCUCCCGUCCUUGCAGCUGCAGCAAUUCCUUCGUGGUCAAUCUUGUUCAGGAUUUACUUGAAUGAAAUAGAAAAGCAGUUUUCUGGAGCUUGUUCUCAGAUCAGAUACUGUGGUUGCAAUCAAGAUGGAAAGGAGCAUCGAGCCUGUGAAGUUGCUGAAAGGAUUCGGUGUCUCUAUGUCGUUCAUAUUCAAAAUUCUCAUCUGAUGUCUGAUGAUUUUAAUGCUCGAUCCUAAUCCAUGGUUUAAGAUUGGUAAGGUCAUCUUGCAGGAUGGCAAUGGUUAAUAUGCUCGUCGUCUUGAGUAUCAUUCAAUGCUUGAAUCCCAUGCUUCUGGACAGUUUUAAGAAGAUGAAUAAAAAAGAAAAUCAAGAACCAUAUGGUUUAUAUGUCAUCUGAAGGUCAUUAUGGGUGGCAAGCUCGUUAAUCUUUUGUUGGUUGUGGCACGACCAAAUUGGAGUUUAAUUGUUGCAUGUCCUGUUGGACCAGUUAUGGUGACGAUUGCCGAGAUUCCUCUUAAUCAGCAAUCUAGCAUCUUCAGGAGAACCCAAGUGCGAAUUGAUCUCCACUAUAGUCAUGAGCCUUAGAAAGGACAGGCAAAGCUAGCUCCACGUCAUAAAGAUGACUAGCAAGUUGGGCAAUCACUCGAUUGCAAAAAUUUCCACAUACAAUCUACAACAGCAUUAUCUACACAACCGUACGUGGAUAUUUGACAUGUGAGAGAUUGACUUUAUUCACUAAGCAUAUUAGCUUUAUCACAAAAAAAAAAAAAGGGUUAAUAAUCUGUCAGCACCGGUCAUUGCUUUCCAAGCUGAUUCGAUGAAUGAUGGUAUGUUUUGUGUUCUUACGUUUUUGCAAGUCAUUAAUCAUCGGGAAAGUCCAUGGGUAGAAUUGACGCAGAAGAUAUGCAAUCUAACUCGUGAUGCCCCGAAGAUCAUUUCAUGCCAUUCAAACCUAACAACUACUGUGGAGCCAUGAUUCGAACGGACCUUUCUCAUAUGCAGUAGGAUUCUAGACUUCUAGUACCUCUUGAGCCACAACUAAUGCUAGGGGUUCUGAGAUAGAAUUGAGGGGUUGGAGAUAGAGGGAAUGAAUGAUGGAAGCAUGAUCUCACAAGGCACUGAGAUUGCCACCGAAAGAUAUGGUCUUGGCCGACGAGGAUUCUCUGCAAAAGAUACAAGCCAUCAAACUUCGUAGGCCAUACUUUCCAAAACGUAAUCCAUUUGCUUUACGACUCCUUUAACUAAAGUGAAAAGAAUUCCGCUGCCUCAUGCCCCCCUACUUUUGAUGAUGCUCUGACUAGAAAAGUUGACGGAGAUAAGAGAAACGUACAUAAGCAAAGAAACUGCUGGUCCUUUUAUCAAUUCUCUUUUAGCAAAAGAGGGAAUUACACGUUCAUCAUUGUCAGCAUGCCGGUAAUGAUGGUUAUAAUUAUGUUAUCUGUGGCUGCCUUAUGGUAGCUAUAUAAACGAGCUUCUACCUGGACGGUUGUAUGCAUUGGAGGAGCGAGGCGAAGAAUCCACCAUGAUAGUUUUGAGCAUUGGAAGCAAGAAGAUUCAUGCGAUGGGUUGGGCGAAGAGAUUUGGGAGGAGAGAAGAUGGGAUAUCUCCCGAGAACGCUCAAGGGAGUCUGGUGACGGAGUGGUGGAGGAGGUCAACAUCUGUGAGGCAGAUGGUAUGGAAGCUCAGGUCUCGAUGGAGGCAUGCGAUGAGAUCUUCAAGGAGGAAUGGGAUGAGAUUUGGUUACGAUCCCAAGAGCUAUUCUCAGAACUUUGAUGAUGGUUUCCUCCACGAUUAUCUCGCACCUUGUACCCUCAGCUAAGCUAUAUUCGCUGAGAAAAUUUUUGGAUGGGGUCGUCCUUUUUCUUUCUUUUUUUUAUUAUUUUAAGAAAAAGGUUCCCCUGCUUCUUGGAUGUGGGUUUUCCUUUAUAUGUAUAUGUAUAUGCCUUAUAAUUAGGGAUAAUUGUUGGCCAGGUCAUUUGUCACUUGGCAACAAGGAUGUUAUGUGACAUUUUGACAUUGCAAGUAUGUUUGUGGUUCAUUACAAUU